rnacentral:rRNA from 1 species
UCCGCCGGCGACCGGCGCACGGGUGCGCAACGCGUAUAGAAUCUGCCCUGUACUGGGGAAUAGCCCAGAGAAAUUUGGAUUAAUGCCCCAUGGUAUGUAUUAGCGGCAUCGCUUAUACAUUAAAGGCUACGGUACAGGAUGACUAUGCGUCCCAUUAGUUAGUUGGUAAGGUAACGGCUUACCAAGGCAGCGAUGGGUAGGGGCCCUGAGAGGGGGAUCCCCCACACUGGUACUGAGACACGGACCAGACUCCUACGGGAGGCAGCAGUGAGGAAUAUUGGACAAUGGGCGGGAGCCUGAUCCAGCCAUGCCGCGUGCAGGAAGACGGUCCUAUGGAUUGUAAACUGCUUUUGUACGGGAAGAACAAGGGGCACGUGUGCCCCUCUGACGGUACCGUAAGAAUAAGGAUCGGCUAACUCCGUGCCAGCAGCCGCGGUAAUACGGAGGAUCCGAGCGUUAUCCGGAAUCAUUGGGUUUAAAGGGUCCGUAGGCGGGCCAUUAAGUCAGGGGUGAAAGUCUGCGGCUCAACCGUAGAAUUGCCCUUGAUACUGGUGGUCUUGAGUUAUGGUGAAGUAACUAGAAUAUGUAGUGUAGCGGUGAAAUGCAUAGAUAUUA